GUAGUACUCCCUCCGUUCGGAAUUACUUGUCUCAAAAAUGGAUGUAUCUAGAACUAAAAUACAUCUAGAUACAUCCAUUUCUGCGACAAGUAAUUCCGAACGGAGGGAGUACUAG
rnacentral:pre_miRNA from 1 species